rnacentral:rRNA from 1 species
CGCUGGCGGCGUGCUUAACACAUGCAAGUCGAACGAACCUUCGGGUUAGUGGCGGACGGGUGAGUAACGCGUGAGAAUCUGCCCUCAGGAGGGGGAUAACAGUUGGAAACGACUGCUAAUACCCCAUAUGCCGAGAGGUGAAACGAAUUUUGCCUGGGGAUGAGCUCGCGUCUGAUUAGCUUGUUGGUGGGGUAAAAGCCUACCAAGGCUUCGAUCAGUAGCUGGUCUGAGAGGACGAUCAGCCACACUGGGACUGAGAUACGGCCCAGACUCCUACGGGAGGCAGCAGUGGGGAAUUUUCCGCAAUGGGCGCAAGCCUGACGGAGCAACGCCGCGUGAGGGAUGAAGGCCUUUGGGCUGUAAACCUCUUUUCUCAAGGAAGAAGAUCUGACGGUACUUGAGGAAUAAGCCACGGCUAAUUCCGUGCCAGCAGCCGCGGUAAUACGGGAGUGGCAAGCGUUAUCCGGAAUUAUUGGGCGUAAAGCGUCCGCAGGCGGCCGUUUAAGUCUGUUGUUAAAUCGUGGAGCUCAACUCCAUCACGGCAAUGGAAACUGUUCGGCUUGAGUAUGGUAGGGGCAGAGGGAAUUUCCGGUGUAGCGGUGAAAUGCGUAGAUAUCGGGAAGAACACCAGUGGCAAAAGCGCUCUGCUGGGCCAUUACUGACGCUCAUG